UGUCCGUGACGUCAUACAACCGCGCCGGCGUCGCUGAGGCGUGUCCUUCCGGGGGGCCCCAGAGCUCUACCAGAAGCGUCUGGGGAGAAUGUUUGCGGGGGAGUGUGGAUGUUCCUCGAAUGAGAGACAUCUGAGGGAGGACGCAGCCGGCCUGCUCUGUCCUAGGGCAGUGGUGGGCGGUGCGGUGCGAUCUGGGCGGUCCCCGGAGCCUGGAGCGUCUAUGAAGUCCUAGGGUGGACUGGGUUCCUGCACAAGGAGUGUCAAGCUAGUCAUUGCCAUCCUGAUGUUAUUUUUACAUUGUGAGAAAGACGCUAUCACUGGGACGCCUAGAUAUUUUUUACUUAUUCCCUUUUGUUGCCCUUGUUUUAUUGCUGUAGUUGUUGUUGUUACGGAUGUCGUCGUUGUUGGAUAGGACAGAGAAGUGGAGAGAGGAGGGGAAGACAUACAACUGCAGACCUGCUUCACCGCCUGUGAAGCGACUUCACUCCAGAGGGUGAGAUACGGAAGAGACAAGAGAAACACCAGCAACACUACUCCGCUGCUUGUGAUGUUUCCCUGCUGCCGGUGGGGAGGGGAGGGUAUGAUGAGGCUUGAACCCCGCACCUCGCUCUGAAUAAAUGUAAGGAGCCACUGCCUGUCCCCGACUCUUUCAUUUUUUUUAAUAUUUAUUUUUUUAAAUAUUAUUUAUUCCCUUUUGUUGCCCUU